rnacentral:rRNA from 1 species
UACGAAGGGGGCUAGCGUUGCUCGGAAUCACUGGGCGUAAAGGGUGCGUAGGCGGGUCUUUUAAGUCAGGGGUGAAAUCCCGGGGCUCAACCUCGGAACUGCCUUUGAUACUGCGGGUCUUGAGUCCGAUAGAGGUGGGUGGAAUUCCUAGUGUAGAGGUGAAAUUCGUAGAUAUUAGGAAGAACACCGGUGGCGAAGGCGGCCCACUGGAUCGGUACUGACGCUGAGGUGCGAAAGCGUGGGGAGCAAACAGG